rnacentral:lncRNA from 1 species
AACAACCUAUCUACACAAAGCAAAUCAAGGUAUGCUGUAAUGGCUUCAAAUCCUCUUGUCCCCAAAAUAGUCUCUGUUCCCUCCGUUUUUUGUCUGUACAGCUAUCACGUGUCUUUAACAUUUUGUUAAUCCAAACUUAAAUAAAUCGAUAAUAAUUGAUUUACAAGUUUUGUUAACCCAAAUUCAAACAAUAACACAUUGAAUCUAGGCUUGUGCAAAACAAGUAAUACAAUUUUGUUAAUUAUCUUUUUGUUAAUUAGACAAACCUAGACUUUGCAUAACCCCAACUUUUGUUUGAACUCAAUGUGUUAUUGUUUUGCGUAAGCCUGGAUUCAGUGUGUUAUUGUUUGAAUUUGGGUUAACACAACUUGUAAACUGAUUAUUAUCGAUUAUUUUGGAUUAAUAAAAGACUAGAGACACAUGACAGUUGUACAAAUAAGAGACGGAAGGGACAGAGACUAUUUUAGGGACAGAGAAUUUGAAGCCGUAAUGCAAGAGGCAUAGACUUCAUCAGCUUAACUUCUUGAACUGGCUAAUUAAGUUAAUUUUGCAAAUGAUUAAUUAAAAUGGUAAUUAGUUGAAUCAGAUGAUGACAAUAAACUUUGAAACUUCUAGGAUUCACUCAAAUUCUAUUACACUUUGUUUUUGUCCAAAAUCUUCUAUAGCUGCCAAAUGUAUCAUUGUUUCCUUCCCCUCCCUUUCUUGGCUGGCUGUGCCUCCAUA